rnacentral:misc_RNA from 1 species
CUUUUCAGUUUUCCCCACUCUUUCUUGGAAGUCUACUGCCUGACUGAGCGAGAGUCAACCAUAGUAAAUAGAGGUGGAAGAACUUCUACUGAAGAAGAUGAUUUUCCCCUGGUUAGGUUAUCCUUGAAUUUCUUUUAAUUCCAUUUCCACUUCAACUCCUUUGUUUAUGUGAUGUGAUGGAAGCCAUUGCUGUUGUUGGAGAGGCCAUUCUAUCUGCUUCCUUACAAGGGUUGUUCAAGAAGUUGACUUCAAAUGACUUGCUCAAAUUUGCAAAAGAAGAGCAAGUCUUUGCUGAGCUCAAGAAGUGGGAGAGGCUGCUGAAGAAAAUCCAUGCAGUUCUUGAAGAUGCAGAGGAGAAGCAGUUGUCUAACCCUUUGGUGAAGAAGUGGCUGGACGAGCUCAAAGAUUUGGCUUACGAUGUGGAAGACAUUUUGGACGAGUAUCAAACCGAAUCUUUGCAACGCCAGUUGAAGGGAGAAACUGAAGCUGGUUCAAGUAAGUUUCGGAAACUCAUGUUGAAUUCAACAAAGGUGUCCAAGAUGAAGGAGAUCACUACCAGAUUUCAGAGGAUCGUCGACCAGCAAAAGGACUUCGAAUUGAUAAAGAGAACUGUUGGACGGACCUCCUCUAGCAAGGUAUGUGUGCGACCACCCAGUACAUGUUUGGCUCAUGAACCUGAAGUGUAUGGCAGAGAUGAAGAUAAAAGGAAGAUACUUGAUUUGAUUUCGAGCAAUGUAACAAAUGAUGUGAAAGUUGGAGUAAUACCCAUUGUUGGGAUGGGUGGGGUGGGUAAAACAACACUUGCUCGGCUUGUCUACAAUGAUGAGUCAUUAAAACAACAACAAUUUCAUCCAAAAGCAUGGGUUUGCGUAUCUGAUGAGUUUGAUAUUUUGAGAAUAUCAAAGAACAUUUUUGAGUCGAUCACUUUGAAGCCGUGUGAUCUAAAGGAGCUUAAUC